ACGGAAGGCAGCAGUGGGGAAUAUUGCACAAUGGGGGAAACCCUGAUGCAGCGACGCCGCGUGAGUGAAGAAGUAUUUCGGUAUGUAAAGCUCUAUCAGCAAGGAAGAAAAUGACGGUACUUGACUAAGAAGCCCCGGCUAACUACGUGCCAGCAGCCGCGGUAAUACGUAGGGGGCAAGCGUUAUCCGGAUUUACUGGGUGUAAAGGGAGCGUAGACGGUAAGGCAAGUCUGAAGUGAAAUGCAGGGGCUCAACCCCUGAACUGCUUUGGAAACUGUCAAGCUAGAGUGUCGGAGAGGUAAGUGGAAUUCCUAGUGUAGCGGUGAAAUGCGUAGAUAUUAGGAGGAACACCAGUGGCGAAGGCGGCUUACUGGACGAUAACUGACGUUGAGGCUCGAAAGCGUGGGGAGCAAACAGGAUUAGAUACCCUGGUA
rnacentral:rRNA from 1 species